GACUUCUCAUCUGUUUCUACAUCAUUUCCUAGGAGGAUCUGGUCACUUCCCUGCUUCUUUUCUGGAACUCCACUUGGAGCGAAGAAGAGGCACUAGGUGCAUGCCUACACAGAGGAAAGCCAUGUGAGGACACAGCGAUAAGAUUGCUGACUGCAAGCUCAGGAGAACUUAGAAGAAACCAACCCUACCAGCACCUUGAUCUUGGACUUCCAGCCUCCAGAACUGUGAGAAAGUAAAUUUCUG
rnacentral:lncRNA from 10 species